GUCAGGACGGCCUGACUUCAGUUUCUAGUUGAUGGACUCAUCUGCCUGUUAGACUGGAAAGCUGUCCCCUGAAGUCCUGUGUGGAAUAAAUGGAGUUUCCAGAGCUGCUCUUUGUAAAACAGAGCAAGCAUCUUUGGCCAAAAGAAAAGAAUUUCCGAAAAUGUACACCAGUCAGUAAGAAAGAGGAGGUGGAUUGAGCUAAUCAGCUAAUUCUGCGGCUGAACCCGAGCUGGAAGCGCCAGGAACAGGUAGGAGUCCUACUCUCUUGUUGUACCCCAGUGGGAUGUACGCUUUCCUCUGAGCAUCUCCUAGAGCAGCAGAUGGUGCUGGGGACGUGUGGCCCAACCAUGAGAGCUUCCUGUGCCCUCCUCUCCCGUCUCCAGCUUUACUGACGGUCUGCCAGCACCUUACUUGCCAGCAACAGCCCUGCAGCACAGCAUCGGGCUCAUGAACGGUGUCAGAGGUAGUGUUGUUGCCUGUGUGAGCUCUGCUUCCGUUUAUUCCUGUUUCUUGUCCUCACAGAUCC